rnacentral:lncRNA from 1 species
CUGGUUGCCAUAACAACUGAUUGGUCCUCUCCUCUUCCUCCACCUCUGCCACAGGGCUCCAGCUUCCCUCUGGGGGCACCACUGUUCUUAGAUGGCAGAGCAGAUGCAACGGCACCCCUGAGCUGCCCUCAGGGGGUCCUCAGCCUUGGAGGAGGCAGGAGACCUGGGCUAUGGAGCCACUCACAGGCCCUACUGAGAACAACUUGGUGUCCAUCACAGUCCUCUUCAGAAUGCCCAGAAUAUGGGGAUAAGAAGGUGAAACCGGCAUGUUUAUUAACACAAUGGAAUAUUCUGUGGCCAAAUCAAAGGAAGACGUUGAGGAUUCUGGUGACACCUGGAAACGUACUGCUAAGGGAAAAAAGCAGGACCACAAUGUUAUGUGGAUAUUGACUGCGACUAUAUAUAAUGCCAGCGUGGACUUCUCAGAGAUGGAAUUUGGAGGAAUGUAAUACAGAUGCA